GUACUUACCUGGUGCCGGGGUCUCGUUGAUCACCGAGGCCGAGCCCCCCAAGGCGAGGCGCGGGUGUUGCACUCCGCUAGCGUUGACCCCUGCCACUACCCCAAGCUACGACAGAUGGAGCAUGAAAAUUGC
rnacentral:snRNA from 1 species